rnacentral:rRNA from 1 species
CCGGUAAACGGCGGCCGUAACUAUAACGGUCCUAAGGUAGCGAAAUUCCUUGUCGGGUAAGUUCCGACCUGCACGAAUGGCGUAAUGAUGGCCAGGCUGUCUCCACCCGAGACUCAGUGAAAUUGAACUCGCUGUGAAGAUGCAGUGUACCCGCGGCAAGACGGAAAGACCCCGUGAACCUUUACUAUAGCUUGACACUGAACAUUGAGCCUUGAUGUGUAGGAUAGGUGGGAGGCUUUGAAGUGUGGACGCCAGUCUGCAUGGAGCCGACCUUGAAAUACCACCCUUUAAUGUUUGAUGUUCUAACGUUGGCCCCUGAUCGGGGUUGCGGACAGUGUCUGGUGGGUAGUUUGACUGGGGCGGUCUCCUCCUAAAGAGUAACGGAGGAGCACGAAGGUUGGCUAAUCCUGGUCGGACAUCAGGAGGUUAGUGCAAUGGCAUAAGCCAGCUUGACUGCGAGCGUGACGGCGCGAGCAGGUGCGAAAGCAGGUCAUAGUGAUCCGGUGGUUCUGAAUGGAAGGGCCAUCGCUCAACGGAUAAAAGGUACUCCGGGGAUAACAGGCUGAUACCGCCCAAGAGUUCAUAUCGACGGCGGUGUUUGGCACCUCGAUGUCGGCUCAUCACAUCCUGGGGCUGAAGUAGGUCCCAAGGGUAUGGCUGUUCGCCAUUUAAAGUGGUACGCGAGCUGGGUUUAGAACGUCGUGAGACAGUUCGGUCCCUAUCUGCCGUGGGCGCUGGAGAACUGAGGGGGGCUGCUCCUAGUACGAGAGGACCGGAGUGGACGCAUCACUGGUGUUCGGGUUGUCAUGCCAAUG